AUUGAACGCUGGCGGAAUGCUUUACACAUGCAAGUCGAACGGCAGCACGGGGGCAGCCCUGGUUGCGAGUGGCGAACUGGUGAGUAAUACAUCGGAACGUGCCCGUUCGUGUGGGAUUACGUAGCGAAAUUUACGCUAAUACCGCAUACGAUCUGAGGAUGAACGCGGGGGACCUUCGGGCCUCGCGCGAUCGCCGCGUCCGAUGUCAGAUUAUGUAGUUGGUGGGGUAAAGGCCUACCAAGCCGACGAUCUGUAGCUGGUCUGAGAGGACGACCAGCCACACUGGAACUGAGACACGGCCCAGACUCCUACGGGAGGCAGCAGUGGGGAAUGUUGGACAAAGGGCGCAAGCCUGAUCCAGCCAUUCCGCGUGCAGGACGAAGGCCUUCGGGUUGUAAACUGCUUUUGUACGGAACGAAAAGGCUCUGGCUAAUACCUGGGGCUCAUGACGGUACCGUAAGAAUAAGCACCGGCUAACUACGUG
rnacentral:rRNA from 1 species